UACAGAGGGUGCGAGCGUUAAUCGGAAUUACUGGGCGUAAAGCGCACGUAGGCGGAUCUUUAAGUCAGGGGUGAAAUCCUGGAGCUCAACUCCAGAACUGCCUUUGAUACUGGGGAUCUCGAGUCCGGAAGAGGUGAGUGGAACUCCGAGUGUAGAGGUGAAAUUCGUAGAUAUUCGGAAGAACACCAGUGGCGAAGGCGGCUCACUGGUCCGGUACUGACGCUGAGGUGCGAAAGCGUGGGGAGCAAACAGG
rnacentral:rRNA from 1 species